AUUGAACGCUGGCGGCAUGCCUUACACAUGCAAGUCGAACGGCAGCACGGGAGCAAUCCUGGUGGCGAGUGGCGAACGGGUGAGUAAAGUAUCGGAACGUGCCCAGUCGUGGGGGAUAACGUAGCGAAAGUUAAGCUAAUACCGCAUACGAUCUAUGGAUGAAAGCGGGGCAUCGCAAGACCUCGCGCGAAUCGAGCGGACGAAAUCAGAUUAGGUAGUUGGGGGGGUAAAGGCUCACCAAGCCGACGAUCUGUAGCUGGUCUGAGAGGACGACCAGCCACACUGGGACUGAGACACGACCCAGACUCCUACGGGAGGCAGCAGUGGGGAAUUUUGGACAAUGGGCGAAAGCCUGAUCCAGCCAUGCCGCGUGCAGGAUGAAGGCCUUCGGGUUGUAAACUGCUUUUGUACGGAACGAAAAGGUUUGGCCUAUUAAGCUGAGCUCAUGACGGUACCGUAAGAAUAAGCACCGGCUAACUACGUGCCAGCCGCCGCGGUAA
rnacentral:rRNA from 1 species